rnacentral:misc_RNA from 1 species
GAUGAAGAACGUAGCGAAAUGCGAUAAGUAGUGUGAAUUGCAAAAUUCAGUGAAUCAUCGAAUCUUUGAACGCACAUUGCGCCCUUUGGUAUUCCAAAGGGCAUGCCUGUUCGAGCGUCAUUUGUACCCUCAAGCUUUGCUUGGUGUUGGGCGUCUUGUCUCUAGCUUUGCUGGAGACUCGCCUUAAAGUAAUUGGCAGCCGGCCUACUGGUUUCGGAGCGCAGCACAAGUCGCACUCUCUAUCAGCAAAGGUCUAGCAUCCAUUAAGCCUUUUUUUCAACUUUUGACCUCGGAUCAGGUAGGGAUACCCGCUGAACUUAAGCAUAUCAAUAAGCGGAGGA